UCCUUGAUGGUCUAGUGGCUAGGAUCCGUCGCUCUCACCGACGUGGCCGGGGUUCAAUUCCCCGUCAGGGAA
rfam:Rhizopus oryzae RA 99-880 supercont3.6 genomic scaffold, whole genome shotgun sequence.